rnacentral:rRNA from 1 species
UACAGAGGUCCCGAGCGUUGUUCGGAUUCAUUGGGCGUAAAGGGUGCGUAGGCGGCGGGGCAAGUCUGAUGUGAAAUCCCGGGGCUCAACCUCGGAACUGCAUUGGAUACUGCCUUGCUAGAGUACUGGAGAGGAGACUGGAAUUUACGGUGUAGCAGUGAAAUGCGUAGAUAUCGUAAGGAAGGCCAGUGGCGAAGGCGAGUCUCUGGACAGUUACUGACGCUGAGGCACGAAGGCCAGGGGAGCAAACGGG